GUGCUUGUGGUGUAGUGGUUAUCACAUCCGCCUAACACGCGGAAGGUCCCAGGUUCGAUCCCUGGUAGGCACA
rnacentral:tRNA from 1 species